CAAGGAGAGACACACAGCUCCACUAAAACCAUAGUUAAACAAGAUAAUAACAGAUCAGUCAAGGAGAGACACACAGCUCCACUAAAACCAUAGGUAAACAAGAUUACAACUGAUCAGUCAAGGAGAGACACACAGCUCCACUAAAACCAUAGUUAAACAAGAUUACAACUGAUCAGUCAAGGAGAGACACACAGCUCCACUAAAACCAUAGGUAAACAAGAUUACAACUGAUCAGUCAAGGAGAGACACACAGCUCCACUAAAACCAUAGUUAAACAAGAUUACAACUGAUCAGUCAAUAUGUCUAGUUAAAAAGCUAAUAACAGAUCAGUCAAUAUGGCUAGUUAAAAAGCUAAUAACAGAUCA
ensembl:lncRNA